ACUUAAAUUGAAGAGUUUGAUCAUGGCUCAGAUUGAACGCUGGCGGCAGGCCUAACACAUGCAAGUCGAGCGGUAGCACAGAGAGCUUGCUCUCGGGUGACGAGCGGCGGACGGGUGAGUAAUGUCUGGGAAACUGCCUGAUGGAGGGGGAUAACUACUGGAAACGGUAGCUAAUACCGCAUAACGUCGCAAGACCAAAGUGGGGGACCUUCGGGCCUCAUGCCAUCAGAUGUGCCCAGAUGGGAUUAGCUAGUAGGUGGGGUAACGGCUCACCUAGGCGACGAUCCCUAGCUGGUCUGAGAGGAUGACCAGCCACACUGGAACUGAGACACGGUCCAGACUCCUACGGGAGGCAGCAGUGGGGAAUAUUGCACAAUGGGCGCAAGCCUGAUGCAGCCAUGCCGCGUGUGUGAAGAAGGCCUUCGGGUUGUAAAGCACUUUCAGCGGGGAGGAAGGCGGUGAGGUUAAUAACCUCACCGAUUGACGUUACCCGCAGAAGAAGCACCGGCUAACUCCGUGCCAGCAGCCGCGGUAAUACGGAGGGUGCAAGCGUUAAUCGGAAUUACUGGGCGUAAAGCGCACGCAGGCGGUCUGUCAAGUCGGAUGUGAAAUCCCCGGGCUCAACCUGGGAACUGCAUUCGAAACUGGCAGGCUAGAGUCUUGUAGAGGGGGGUAGAAUUCCAGGUGUAGCGGUGAAAUGCGUAGAGAUCUGGAGGAAUACCGGUGGCGAAGGCGGCCCCCUGGACAAAGACUGACGCUCAGGUGCGAAAGCGUGGGGAGCAAACAGGAUUAGAUACCCUGGUAGUCCACGCCGUAAACGAUGUCGAUUUGGAGGUUGUGCCCUUGAGGCGUGGCUUCCGGAGCUAACGCGUUAAAUCGACCGCCUGGGGAGUACGGCCGCAAGGUUAAAACUCAAAUGAAUUGACGGGGGCCCGCACAAGCGGUGGAGCAUGUGGUUUAAUUCGAUGCAACGCGAAGAACCUUACCUGGUCUUGACAUCCACAGAACUUAGCAGAGAUGCUUUGGUGCCUUCGGGAACUGUGAGACAGGUGCUGCAUGGCUGUCGUCAGCUCGUGUUGUGAAAUGUUGGGUUAAGUCCCGCAACGAGCGCAACCCUUAUCCUUUGUUGCCAGCGGUUAGGCCGGGAACUCAAAGGAGACUGCCAGUGAUAAACUGGAGGAAGGUGGGGAUGACGUCAAGUCAUCAUGGCCCUUACGACCAGGGCUACACACGUGCUACAAUGGCAUAUACAAAGAGAAGCGACCUCGCGAGAGCAAGCGGACCUCAUAAAGUAUGUCGUAGUCCGGAUUGGAGUCUGCAACUCGACUCCAUGAAGUCGGAAUCGCUAGUAAUCGUAGAUCAGAAUGCUACGGUGAAUACGUUCCCGGGCCUUGUACACACCGCCCGUCACACCAUGGGAGUGGGUUGCAAAAGAAGUAGGUAGCUUAACCUUCGGGAGGGCGCUUACCACUUUGUGAUUCAUGACUGGGGUGAAGUCGUAACAAGGUAACCGUAGGGGAACCUGCGGUUGGAUCACCUCCUUACCUUAAAGAA
rnacentral:rRNA from 1 species